GACAACCUUGCCCUCAAGGCUCGGGGAUAACAUUUUGGAAACAGAUGCUAAUACCGAAUAAAACUUAGUGUCGCAUGACAAAAAGUUAAAAGGCGCUUCGGCGUCACCUAGAGAUGGAUCCGCGGUGCAUUAGUUAGUUGGUGGGGUAAAGGCCUACCAAGACAAUGAUGCAUAGCCGAGUUGAGAGACUGAUCGGCCACAUUGGGACUGAGACACGGCCCAAACUCCUACGGGAGGCUGCAGUAGGGAAUCUUCCACAAUGGGCGAAAGCCUGAUGGAGCAACGCCGCGUGUGUGAUGAAGGCUUUCGGGUCGUAAAGCACUGUUGUAUGGGAAGAACAGCUAGAAUAGGAAAUGAUUUUAGUUUGACGGUACCAUACCAGAAAGGGACGGCUAAAUACGUGCCAGCAGCCGCGGUAAUACGUAUGUCCCGAGCGUUAUCCGGAUUUAUUGGGCGUAAAGCGAGCGCAGACGGUUUAUUAAGUCUGAUGUGAAAGCCCGGAGCUCAACUCCGGAAUGGCAUUGGAAACUGGUUAACUUGAGUGCAGUAGAGGUAAGUGGAACUCCAUGUGUAGCGGUGGAAUGCGUAGAUAUAUGGAAGAACACCAGUGGCGAAGGCGGCUUACUGGACUGCAACUGACGUUGAGGCUCGAAAGUGUGGGUAGCAAACAGGAUUAGAUACCCUGGUAGUCCACACCGUAAACGAUGAACACUAGGUGUUAGGAGGUUUCCGCCUCUUAGUGCCGAAGCUAACGCAUUAAGUGUUCCGCCUGGGGAGUACGACCGCAAGGUUGAAACUCAAAGGAAUUGACGGGGACCCGCACAAGCGGUGGAACAUGUGGUUUAAUUCGAAGCAACGCGAAGAACCUUACCAGGUCUUGACAUCCUUUGAAGCUUUUAGAGAUAGAAGUGUUCUCUUCGGAGACAAAGUGACAGGUGGUGCAUGGUCGUCGUCAGCUCCUGUCGUGAAAUGUUGGGUUAAGUCCCGCAACGAACCCCACCCCUUAUUGUUAGUUGCCAGCAUUCAGAUGGGCACUCUAGCGAAACUGCCGGUGACCAACCGGAGGAAGCGGGGACAACGUCAAAUCACAUGCCCCUAAUAACCUGGGCUACCACGGGCUUCAUGGGCGUAUACAACGGAUUGCCCACCCGC
rnacentral:rRNA from 1 species